UCUUGCGCUCCAUCCUGUCCUCGUCUUCCCGCCGCCGCCGACUGGCGUCCGACCCCGCUCAACACUGCAGCACCGCCCGUCACUCCUCUUCCCGAGAUUCAAUCGAGCACCGCCCGUCAGUCCUGUUCCCGUGCAGGCAGCAGGGCACCGCCACCUGACAUUGCUACCGUCGCCCCUCCCAGCUCGUCCUCCAACCCAAUCGACAGGUUCAGUUGAGAACAGGUCACGUGGGUUUCUCCUCCAAUAUCCCCUUUGCUCAAUUGAUAAAGCUAAACUUUUUUUUCUAGCAGAUCGAGAGAACUGCAGCGUCCCCUCUUCUCCAUUGUCCAAGAUCUGUAGCAUGACAGGCAAUGGAGGCUGAGGGAAGUGGAUCAAAAGUUGUGGGUGGUGUAUGUCAAUGGACAUCAACUCAGUCCUCUUUCAUGCUCACUUUCCUUUCCAACAUUGUAGCAAAUGGCACUAAAACUUCAUCUGGUUUUAAGAAAGUUCAUCUCAACUCCUGUGCUAAAGCUUUGAAUGAGUAUUUCAAGCUCAGUAGGACUGGUGACCAGAUUGCUAAUCAUCUGAAGACAUGGAAAAAGAAAUAUGUUAAAAUCAACCAACUUAGGAAGUUGAGUGCUGCUAUCUAGGAUGAGGACAAUUUCAUAAUUACUCUUGAUCAUGAGCACUACACAGGCCCAGUGGCGGACCACAAAGGAGAUGAUGAAUAUCUAAACAAGCCACUGCAAUAUUAUGGUGACUUGGCUACUAUCUUUGGUAAUAAUGUGGCUACUGGUUAGUAUGCAAAGGGCUCAAAUGACCCUUUAGGCACUGCAUGAGAAGAUGGAGAAAAUGAAGGGAAAACAAUGGUGCUGCAGCCACUUGAUGAUAAUGUAGCAAGCAGACCAAACAAGAGAGCCAAAAUUAUUGAGGGUGAUGUUGAUAGUUUGGUUGCAGCACUUAAAGAAGGCUCUGAAAAGCUUUCUGAUGCUAUCAAGGAUGCUGCUAAAACGGACAAUGCACUGCCACCAGAGUUGUUUCAUACUGUUAACAAUCUUCCAGGUUUUGAACAUGAGCACAAGUCCUUUUACCUUCUACAUUUGGUGAACAAUGCUCAUAUUGCUAGAGCUUUCAACUCCCUGCCCAUUGAUCAUAAGAUAACUUGGGUUGCCAAGUUUGUUACUGACAACUUCUGAUGCACUAUGGUGUAGAUUGUGGUUUAGCUCAUGUUGGUAGCUUUUGGUUGUGCAGAUUGUAGUGGAACUCCUGUUGCUAGAGCUUUUGGUUGUAUGGGCUGUGGUAAACCUAGAGCUUUUGGUUC